rnacentral:lncRNA from 1 species
CUUGGAGCUUGGGCAGCAUGAAGAGAGCCUGGUGGACCAGGGGAUCGAUUUUUUGGGCGAAGAGGGUGCUGCACAAAGUACUGUCAUUGGCUCACCGAGAGAUGAUGGCAAGUAUUAUGCAGGCAGUGGCCGAUGGGUAGAAAAGGAGUCAAGGGACCUACUCAUGAAGGCCCCGACGGACUCCAUGUUCUGCAGGUCGGCAGCCAUGCUGUACUGGAGCGCAGACCAGCUCCGCAACCGCAGUGUGACUGGCACACUGUCGAACAAGUGCCGGUCACUUGG